AGCUAGUGCAGCAUAGGACACGGUACCUGGAAUUCCUGCCCUUUCCUUCCUUAUUUCCUGUGCUGAGGCCUGGACUUCUGUGGACCCCAGAGGAUUUGCUGAUGUUUACAAACAUACAGUUUCAGGUGAGAACCUUUUCUUCCUGGGCGCCUCCUCUGCCUCUGCUGCCGUCCCCGCUGGAGACACAGAAAUGCUUGCCUUGGAGUAACCAAUUCUGUCCUGUCUCCUUGAAUUUGUUC